CCAGCCUUGUCUGGAUAUAAACGACUUACUGAGCAUGUGCAGGCUUGUCCCCUUGCUAGGGCUCCCUCUAGUGGUGAACAGCGGUACUGCACAUGUGCGGUUUAUGCACCAGGUGUUAGUUUACUGUUAAUAUGCUAAUGAGGUGAUUCAUUCUCCGCCAAUCCCUGGAGGACAAGUAGUGGGGUGAUCCAAGCCCCACCAAUCCCUGAGAGAUAAUUAGCAUACUGUUGUCUAUAUAAGCCGAGUGAUUUUGCUGCUCGGAGUCCCUGUUCAAGAGAGCUGGAACACUAAGAAGAGCUGUAACACAGUAAAGGCUUGCUCGCAGAAGAAUCCUGUUGCCACGCGUCGUUCUUGCUGGCGGGACAUUGGGCGCGCGACAAGUGGUGCCGAGACCCGGGAACCAACAUCGCCGGUGCCAGGGGACCCUUCAGUGUGCUGAAGAGGAUUCAGAACUGCGAGAAGGUAAAUUAAAAGGUAAGCUUCGAGAGGCAUGCCCCUUUUUGGAAGAGAGCAUGUCAGAAACGGAGCAGAGUGAGAAAUUAGGCUUCGAGAGGCAUGCCCCUUUUUGGAUUUAAGAGAGCAUGUCAGAAACGGAGCAGAGGCAGAAACGGAGCAGAGUGAGAAAUUAGGAGCUCAAAUUAGGAGCUCGCAAAAAGAAAAAGGUUACUAAAACAAAAGUGAAAGAGAUACAAAAGGCAGAAGAAAUGCCGCUGGAGGAAAAAAUAAGAGUGCCCCGGAGGACGAAGUACAAGUCAUCCGGAGAGGAUACUUUGUAUCCAUUAAAAGAAUUAGAAGCCUUAGAACUGGCUGGCAGUGACUCUGAGCAAGAGUUGUCAGAGUCCCAGGAGGAGGAAUUAGAGGAAGAGGCAGCCAUAUAUGAGGAAGAAAGAUAUGGGCCUAGGUGGAGAGCCACUGUGAAGAAACCUAAAGUUAUGGAUCCUUUGUGGGCAAGGCUGGUAAUUUUGUUUCUUUUUUUCUUUGUGUGGGAUAGAGAAGCCACAGACGGCAAGCUUAAGCCCGGACCAAAACCUCUUUGGCAAAUGGUCCCUGCCUGCUUAGAGGAUAAACAAUGUGAGGAAGCCGUUAGAGCCGUUAGGACAGGUCAGAGGGUCCUUGCAGAGCAACAAAGUAUGUCAGAGGGAGAAAAGGUCUCCAAAGAAAAAAAAGAAAAGAAAAGGAGAUAAAAGGAACAGAGAGAAGGCAGAGAUAAAAAAAGAGGAUAAUCAGGACCAGGAAACAAAUAAGAUAUAUUCUUUAAAAGCCUUGACCUUAGAAAUGUCAGACAAUCUAGAAAGCAUCACCGACAGCUUAGAGAAAGUGAAACUAAAGGUAGAACCAUCGGGUCCCGGGCCUCCCGCAGAGCAACAAGGGAAGCGCAGGACUCGACCUCAGUUCGACCACCAGACUCAUAUUGACCCCUCGAAUGGGAACUCAGGUGGUGGAUACAGAUUUUAAAGGCCCCAGUAAGCAGAAUUCAGAAGGAUCACAGAAACUGAAAGCAUGUGCAAAGAUAAAGAUUUGGGGUAGUGGUAGUGGACAAGGUAAUAAUGGUAAAAUGUUUUUGUGUAUGUGUUCUUUUAGAGUUAUGUUAAAAUCUAGAGAAGCAAAGUCGAUUCUCAUAGAUGCUUCUAGUCUUUGGACCCUGACUAGAGACAGUUUACACCCUGGACAAGAGAGAGAAUGGGGUUGAGAAAAACAUUCCUCCCGAACUCUCCACAGAUGCUUUGGCAAAAGAAGGAAAUGAGCUUAAACUUUUUGGAGCUCUCCUGGGAACAGAAGGAGGUGGGAGACGUCUUGCCUCCUUGCAGGCUCCUAUUGGAGAAGUGCUUAUUUCUGGUUCUGGGUUCUUUAGGUAGGAUGUUUGGGUCCUUUUGGUGGAACACCAUCUAGUUCUUUUCCUCUGUGUCUAUUGUCUGUCCUUGGUGCACCAAGCUGUCCAUGUAUGUCAAUUUAUGUCUGGGUUUUGCUUCUCCUUGCUUGAAUGUUUUGUGUUUCAUGUUUAAAAGAAAAGGUUAAAAUUUUAAAUGCUGGUUGAUUCACCCAUUGAUGUAGCUUUAACUCCUUUCAAGAAAGGAACAAAUAAAUAAAAAGUUUCAAUUGGCUUUUGGAGCCUGCAUCUGUAGCUAGAAGCCUAAGUCGGCUGGGCAAGCUCCCCAGGGGGCUGGCUAAAUGUUUACACUAGCCGAUCCUAAAGACACAAGGAGCUUCACAGCUUCUAAGGUAACGGAACUGAUCGCUGUCUCUCUUAGAAAAAUCUUUGACUGUGAUUAUUGGACUCAACAGGUGACAAGGUGUUUCUCUUAAAACUACAGCUAGAAAAAGUAAAAAUGGUGAUUGAUUUAAAUAUUAAAGGUAUGUGUAGCCACUUCAUUUUUGUUUUCUGAUUGGUUUUAAAUGAAUGAAUAUUCUCUACAUGCCUUGGUUAUGGACUAUUGGCUUUUAAGUUAUUGGAUAUGGUUUAAAAAAAAUGUAACAUUGGAGGAAAGUAGAAGAUUAGAAAAGGCAAUGCUAAGAAGGUACAAGGAAAAGGAAGAUCUGCUUUUGUGUAUACUAAGAACCUUUUGUCAGCCUACAGGAGUGCUAUGGCAACAAGGUCCACUUCUUUGGAUUUAUCCCCAUACUUCUCCAAAUAAGACCCUUGAAUAUUACACUUCUGCUGUUGCACAGCUUGCUGUGUUAGGCGUUAAAUCUUGUAUUCAGCAUUUUGGUAUUUUACCCAAGAAAAUUAUUAUACCAUAUACAACAGCUCAAAUAGAAACAUUGUGUGCCUUGAUAGAUGAUUGGGCCAUAUUACGCUGUAGUUUUGAUGGAGAGUUUGACAAUCAUUAUCCUAAGGAUCCUUUGCUACAAUUUUUUUUACUGAACAUCCAGUGAUCUUUCCUAAGAUCACUGCCUCAGAGCCUUUGCCAGAGCCUUUGUUAGAUAUUUAUACAGAUGGCUCCAAAACAGGUGUAGGUGCCUAUAUGGUUGAUUCUCAAGAACCAGUAUUAAUUCAAUACAGUCCAGGUACCCCCUAAAUUACAGAAUAUAAAAUUGUAUUGAAAGUUUUCAAAAGAUUUCAUGAUUAUUUUAAUUUAAUUUCUGAUUCUGCUUAUGUAGUUAAUGCUGUGCACUCACUUGAAAUUGCAGGGCCAAUUUGGUCGAGUAGUACCGUAUGUCAAAUUCUUUUAGAAUUACAAAAUUUGAUUUGGGCCAGAAAAAAUAAAAUUUUUAUACAACAUAUUCGAGCCCAUACUAAUUUGCCUGGUCCCAUGACCAGUAAUAACACCCUGGUGGAUGCUAGUACUCGUAGAGAGUUUAUUUUUCAUGCCACUCCGGUUGAUCUCGCUAGAGGAUUUCAUCAAAAGUUUCAUGUACCUGCUUUUACUCUUCAACAAAAAUUUAAAAAUCUCUAGAGCUGCAGCUUGUGAUGUGGUGUUACGUUGCCAAAAUUGUGUUCAAUUUCACCACCCUCCUCAUGUGGGUAUUAACCCUCGUGGUCUGAUCCAGCUAAAACUUUGGCAGAUGGAUGUCACACACAUAUCUCAAUUUGGAAAUUUAAAAUAUGCUCAUGUUUCUGUUGAUACCUGUUCUGGUAUUAUACACGCUACUCUGAUGACUGGUGAAAAGGCUCGUAAUGCCAUUAGCCAUUGCUUAAAGGCAUGGGCAGCCUGGGGAAAGCCUGAUAGUCUCAAGACAGACAACAGGCCUGCCUACACUGCAAAGUCCUUUCAGGCAUUUUGCCAGACAAUGCAGGUCAAACAUACUACAAGAUUGCCAUACAAUCCCCAAGGUCAAGGAAUUGUGGAAAGAGUACAUCGUACCUUAAAAGAGCUUAUACAAAAACAAAAAGGGGGAAUUGCCAGCAGCUGAACACCAAAAGAACAACUUUCUUUAGCUCUUUUUACUCUAAAUUUCUUAAUUCUGGAUGCGCAUGGCCGUUCUGCCACGGAUCGCCAUGCUGCUACUACACCUAUAACUAAUGUAGAAGUAAAUUGGAAGGAUGUCUUAACUGAUGAAUGGCGUGGCCCAGAUCCCGUGAUUUCGAGAUCUAGGGGAGCGAUUUGUGUUUUUCCGCAGAAUCAAGAAAAUCCAAUUUGGGUACCUGAGCGUUUGACUCGAAAAUUGCCUUCUGCUCUUCCUGAAGAUGAGACUACGAACCCUACUAUUACUACUGGGAAUGAGCAAAGAAAUCUCGAAUUAUCUGAAAGGAAACUGGUCCAUGAAAGCAGAGCAACUAUCAAGACAAUUGCUGAUGCAGAUUGCUGUCCUCAACAGCACUAGGCUGGACCCCAUCACAGUUGAAGACUUUACCUCAUGGAUUACCAAUGCUUUCUCCCUUUUCAAGGAGUGGGCGGGCAUGUUUGUCCCGGGGAGCUAUUGUCCUCCUGGGAUGCGGAGUAGGUCUCUGGCUUAUUGGCUGUUUAAAAAGAGAACAUGCCAGACACAAAAUGGUUGUUUACCAGGCUAUGACCACCAUUAAAAAGGGUGCUUCUCCCAACAUAUGGCUGGCCUCUUUGAAAGAUCAAGAGUUCGCCCUAGAUCAUUUUUGUCACAGUCAUGUGGAGUCAUUGUAUCCCAGGGACGGGCAACUUUCCUCGAACUCGGACCAACCUAAGACACAGGGCCCGGUGGCGAUAGGGUAACUCUAUGACGGGUAAGGCCGAGUUUGGAUGAGAACGACCUAAGACAGGAGCAAUGACAAGAUUGACGUGACACCCAGAUCUAGACCAGUCAUUUUAUUAAACAAAAAAGGGGGAGAUGUAGAGAGCGGCGCGGCAAAACAAAGAUGGCGCCGACAUCCAGCCUUGUCUGGAUAUAAACGACUUACUGAGCAUGUGCAGGCUUGUCCCCUUGCUAGGGCUCCCUCUAGUGGUGAACAGCGGUACUGCACAUGUGCGCUUUAUGCACCAGGUGUUAGUUGACCGAUAAUAUGCUAAUGAGGUGAUUCAUUCUCCGCCAAUCCCUGGAGGACAAGUAGUGGGGUGAUCCAAGCCCCACCAAUCCCUGAGAGAUAAUUAGCAUACUGUUGUCUAUAUAAGCCGAGCGAUUUUGCUGCUCGGAGUCCCUGUUCAAGAGAGCUGUAACACUAAGAGAGCUGUAACACUAAGAAGAGCUGUAACACAGUAAAGGCUUGCUCGCAGAAGAA